CAAAAUGAAGGGGUGCGCUGCCUCCGAGGACCACUUCGGGAGGGCAGCAACUGCUGGCUCAUGUGGUUUCUUCGGGCAGGGUUCAGCAGCUUCUGUCACCAGUUAGGUUUCGUGAGCUUCCUUCCCGUGUAGUCUUGAUUUCAUCACUUGACUCACUUCAGCGCAGCUAGUGGUUUCCGUUUCUGUACGCGGGCGCUCUGGUAGGGGCGCCUCACGUCCAAAGGAGGAGUCUUCUUCCAAAGAAGAGCCUUUGGUAUUUGGCAGAGCCUCGCCAAUUUGGGGCGCACCUCCCCUUCCUGGGAUGCUCUCAGAAGGCAAACCAAUUCCCAGAAGAGAGGGAAAAACAGCCACAACAGAGAGAACCUUUGCUGUCCCUGUUUGGAAAGAGAUUGGGAUUUCCUGGAGAGGGCUUGCUUCUACUGCAGGUUUGUUUAAAAGCUCAACAUCUAUUCUGGAAGAGAACAACGCAGACUCCAGGAAGAUGGCGUGUCAUUUUGGAAUGUGUCUUGCUGCUCUUCUCAUCAAAGGUAAAGUCCUCUUCUUCACCUUUUAACCUAGAGUAGCUGUGCAACUUUCUUUGACCAAUCAAAUAUGGUGGAAGUGAUGUUGCGUGACUUCCAGAUAUAAGUCUUAAAGAGAUUUUUCACUUUCUGCUUUCACUCUCUUGGAAUGUUGCCCUGAGAUCACCACACCAUGAAGAAGUCUGGGGCGAAAGGCCAUGUGGAGUGAGAGGCUCAGCUUCCCAGAUGAUCUCACUGAGCACAGCCCCCAGCCACCUGCCAGCUCAAUGCAACCUGGUGAUGGACCCAAGCAAAUACCAGCAGAAGAAUCACCUGGUCAACCCACAGAAUCAUGAGAAAUACUAAUUUGUUGUUGUCUUAAGCCAGUAAGUUUUGAGAGAGUGUUUUAACUGUUUCACCUAAGUUUGGUCUCUUAACAUGAACAUAAGCACUUUUUUGCAUUUGUACAUCCUUUGUACUCUUCCUGUUCAUACCGAGAAAGCUUUUGCAAUGCAAAAGCUCAAAUGUAUUGGAAUUUUAGAAGUUUAAGCCUUGAAGGACUCUGUACAAAACCAUGCCAAAAACCAUAUAUUUUGAAGAAUAUGUUCUCAGUCUGAGCCAGUUUUCUAUUUCCACCUCAAAUCUUGAUUGGUGCAGACUGGAGAAAGGAGAAGAGAGUCAGGGGUAAGACCGUGGGUCGGAGGUGGAUAUCGACAAUGUACCUGAGUAAAAGCCCUGUAGCCUCUCACCAUGUUGGAAUACCAUAUGGCACAACUACAUGGACCGCCAUUUACAUAGAGUAGGAUGUUUAGUACUGCGUCUUGACCUUUGAAACCAGACUGGUGAGAGGACUCACCAACAAAAGUGAAGCUAGGGUCAUAGGCCCUACCUUGGAGAUUGGUAAGACCCCAGAGUUAUUCCUUGCCCAAUGUUAAGUAAGAACAGAAAACAUUUCUAAAGAGGGUCCUGAGGCAGACAGGUCUUAAGCAGUCCCACAGCCCUCAUGUGCCCUAGAAAGAUGCAGAGCGCCCAGAAGCGGUUUUUCAGUGCAGGUGAGAAUGGUUUAGAUCCACAUGUUUUUGUAAAUUAGUUUUUAUUGGAAGAGAGGCAAACCCAUACAUUUACCUGUUGUCUAUGGCUGCUUUGACACUACAAUAGCAGAGUUGGGUAGUUGUGACAGAGAUCAUAUGGUACACAAAGCCUAAAACAUUUACUAUCUGGUCCUUUAUUUUUAAAAAGUCCUUAUAUUAGAUGAAACACAAAGAACUGGUAAAACUUAAGCCUUGUGUAAUAAUACAAAACAAAAAUAUACCAUGUAGACCAUAAUCAAAGGGCCCAUUGUCUUCAGCCGCUGACAUUGGGACCAGGGUGUAGUGUCAGAACAUGAAAGCCUGGAUACCUACAAUGGCCUAAUUUUCUCAUACAAAUGCAUCCUACCACUCCCAUCCCAUACCUUAUGCUAGAUAGGAUCCAUGGAAUUAGCUGCAUCUCCAGUGAAACAGGAAAAGUCCCUGAUUUUACUGAGAUUUAGCUAUUGUCACAUGGUGUAACAGGGAUUUAAGAGAAAAAAUAACCUCAGGUAUAGACAUAGGAAAAUAAUGUUAGAUUAAGUUUCUUAUACACCUGGUUCUGUCUUCAGAAACUGGCACCCACUAUAAAGCCUUCCAUAGUGAUAAUUAUCGCACAAAAUCGAUACAAAGGAAAUACCUGCUGAAUGUUCUGCCUCAGUAGGUUUUCCUUUGGUCUUUUACCUUAGAAAACUGCAUGAUAGCAUUUUUCUAUUAUUUUGACAUUUCAUGUAGGAAGCAUGUUAUUCACAACUUAUGUUUUAUAAAAUCUUUUUCUGAUGAUGAUGAUGAUGACACUUGUUAAUUUCCAUCUCCUUCCUUCACUGUAAGUUUUUCUAUUCCCUGAGACAACUAUUUCUCUCACUUGUCCUAAACCCCAAGGAUACAAGAGAUGCAUAGGAAAAUAUCUAUGAAGUGUGUGGGAGGAGACAACAGGGCAGGGUUCCAGAGGUCUGUGGUUUAUUGCACGUAAAACACUGGAAAGUGCUUUGGAUGAUAAGGAAGUAGCUUGUUGUCCUUUGCAAUGGCCUGACAUUCUUACACUGAGAAAAUCUUACUCCCCACUUUGAGCUGGGAUGUGGGAGCUGGGAGGACAUUUACUGAGUAUUAACUCUGUGCCAGGAAUUAUUCCUACAUUAUCUCAUUUAGUCUCCGGAAAACCCUACGUAACAGGUGAGAAGACCUCAGUGACAAGCUCAAAGAUGCAUAGCUAAAGAGCUGAAAUGUAAAAGCAGGUCUGCCAGACUCAAAAACCCAUGCUCUAUAAACUACAUCAUAGAAGUUGUAAAAUAAUUUUACCUUGAAUCCAAGGGUGAAUAAUUUGUCAUGGUUAGCUUGCCCUUUGGCAUUCAUAAACAAUUUCUACUGUCCCAGUUUUUGUUCCAUUCAUAUAGGAGUAACAUGUGGAAGUAUUAAGCAAUAGAAG
rnacentral:lncRNA from 10 species